ACCUACGGGAGGCAGCAGUAAGGAAUAUUGGUCAAUGGACGCAAGUCUGAACCAGCCAUGCCGCGUGGAGGAUGAAGGCCCUCUGGGUUGUAAACUUCUUUUCUUUGGGACGAAACCCCUGUUUCUACGGGGACUGACGGUACCAGAGGAAUAAGCACCGGCUAACUCCGUGCCAGCAGCCGCGGUAAUACGGAGGGUGCAAGCGUUAUCCGGAUUCACUGGGUUUAAAGGGAGCGUAGGUGGGCUUUUAAGUCAGUGGUGAAAUCUUUGGGCUUAACCCGAAAACUGCCAUUGAUACUAUUAGUCUUGAAUUCUCUGGAAGUAAGCGGAAUAUGUCAUGUAGCGGUGAAAUGCUUAGAUAUGACAUAGAACACCCAUUGCGAAGGCAGCUUACUACGGAGACAUUGACACUGAGGCUCGAAAGCGUGGGGAUCAAACAGGAUUAGAUACCCUCGU
rnacentral:rRNA from 1 species